UUCUGUAAGCCGUUGAAGGUGUCCUGUGAGGGGUGCUGGAGGUAUCAGAAGUGCGAAUGCUGACAUAAGUAACGAUAAAGCGGGUGAAAAGCCCGCUCGCCGGAAGACCAAGGGUUCCUGUCCAACGUUAAUCGGGGCAGGGUGAGUCGACCCCUAAGGCGAGGCCGAAAGGCGUAGUCGAUGGGAAACGGGUUAAUAUUCCCGUACUUGGUGUUACUGCGAAGGGGGGACGGAGAAGG
rnacentral:rRNA from 1 species